ensembl:snRNA U2 U2 spliceosomal RNA
AUUGCUUCUUGGCCUUUUGGCUAAAAUCAAAUGUGGUAUCUGUUCUGAUCAGUUUAAAAUAAUAGUGUAUAUGUAUAUCCAAUGCUAUUAUAUAUUCCCUUC